rnacentral:lncRNA from 1 species
UCUGAUACUCCUCUUGUCCGUGACAGCAUCUCACAGCGGUUCUACCGCGGUCGCGGUGGAACAACGACAGAACAGUUUCUCUGAUUCUUGAGCCUGUUUUUGGCGUGGUUCACUUAGGGCUUUUCCCAAUUGGCCUCUUUUUCUUCAUUUUUGACUCCAAAAGUACUCUCGAGCCUUACCUAGUCAUAUAUAACCUGCAAUCAAUAAAGCACUCAUAACAGCAUUUGGUUAUCACUUUUAUUACCAAAACUAUGCAAGAAAGUGAUUAUUUAGGGCCUGAAUAUAGUUAAAUUCUCCUAUUUUU